GUCCUUGUAGUGUAGUGGUUAUCACAUCUGUCUUACACACAGAAGGCCCCUGGUUCGAGCCCACGCAAGGACA
rfam:Trichuris suis scaffold71.23, whole genome shotgun sequence.